UUUUUUUCUUUUUUUUUUUUCUUUUUUUUUCUUGUUUUUUUUUUUUAUUUAACCCUAACCUAAAAUCGAAAUAUUCCAAGCAAUUUUUUUUUAUUUUUUUAUUUAAUAAAACUUAAGAUCUCCCAAAUUCCAAUACUAAAAUCAAAAUAUUAAAUUUUCACUAUUUGAUAUUAAAACGAAUUAAAAAAAUAAUCUAACCCUAAUCUAGAUUUGGGGUUUUCCAAAAAAAUAUAUCUAAUGCGUUUGAAAUUACUCAAUGAAUCUAAAAUAUUAAACUAGGGGUUAGAAUCUUACCUAUAGAGAUCUGUUCUUCAACCCUGAAAUCAUCUUACCUAUAGAGAUCUGUUCUUCAACCCUGAAAUCUGACUCCAACCUUACGUUCUCUGGAAUUCUGCGAACAGGAACUCUAUUCAGAAAAGAAGGGAAAGAAUAAAAUUUCUAAUUUAUACCUAGGGUAUUUAUUCGUAAAAUUACAUUUUUACCCCUCUUCCACUUUAUUAAAUUAAUUAAUCAAUUAAUUAAAUUAUUAAUAACAAUUUCCUAAAUUACCCUUAAAAGAAAAUGUCUGGGGUUACAAUUAACGUACGUAGUUAGCUUACAAUCAAGAAGCUAGAUCUCCGGUGCUGUCUCCAACAAUAAUAUGAUGGAAAAGGCUUAUCCCGUCUUUCUCUGUGUUCUCUUGAUUUCAGUCCUCUUCUUGCCAUCCACAGCAGCUGGAAGAGCACUGCUUCAGACAGCUCAAACGGGUAUGUAUAACUCAAUAACUCCAAAACCAUGAUUUGUGAUUAAAAUUUCUUGUACUCGCCCAUCCAGUGAUGGACCUGCCGGUUUUGGAAUGUUGGUAAAGCACUUUUUAUAUGAUUCAUGUGUUAUGGCAGAGGGAGAGAGUGGAAACCACGGCGGAAAUGAUGGGAGUAAAAUGGGAGUACCACCCAGUCACUCCAGCACUGCCCCCUCCAGAACUGGAGUUUCAUCUCCUUCCAAACCCACCCCCGGCAGGAUUUCUUAUGGUGAGUAAUUCAUCAUCCCAAUUUUCCAGUUUUGUUGCCAAUUCAGUUUAACUCUAUCAGCAAAUAUAUGUCAAGUCAAAAACCAAUAUUUAUAUUUAUUAUUAUAUUAACUCAAAUACCUCUGACCUACUAUAUACAGCCGCACUACAAAGAAAACCGUACGCACGUCCAUGCAAGUAUUAUAAUAGAUGCAAACGUGGUAACUGAAGAAGUCCAAGCAAACUGGUGAAUCCAGAAAAGGAAAUCUCUAGACAGUUAUCACUUAAGCUUGCUGGUUUCUUGCUGUUUGAAAAUUGUUGCUAUGUUUCAUAGCUCCCUCUGGGACGAUGAUAAUAUAUAGUUGCAUUUUAGAUCAUCCAUCCACUUUUUGAGACUCAUUCACCUUACCUACUGUUACAAAAUUAUGCAUGUAAGUUAUGAUUAAAUUACAAUGAAGUGGUGGAGAGAGGGGAAAGGAUGAGUAUCAUGAAUCAUGAUUUAGUAAAACCCCCAGUCUUCUAAUAUUCGUUUAGCAAAAAAUGAUCAUUUUGUCUCAAAAACAAAAGAGACGAGGCCCAAAAACGGUGGGCGCGUAUGGUCGGGAGUUGGGACCACCUUGACUCCUGACUGCUACUCUGAGCCAGCCCACAAUUUGGGCAAAAUGGGUCGUAAUAGCGAUGGACAAAUUAAUUAAACUGUCUCCUCUUCCAUGCAUUUAAAAAUAUGAAAAAUCAUUUAAAAAAUUUUGACAUCAUACAUAACUGCAGAGUAUAUCUUAAGAAAAAAAUAAAACGAAGAAAUUAUUUUCCAUAUUUUAAUUUCAAACAAAAUUGUUCCCGAAAUUAAUUAAAACUUGUUUCUCAAAAACAGUUUUGAAAGAAAUAUUUUUGAAAAUAUUUCCAAAAAGUACCUUAGAUUUACUUCAUUUUCUAAUGUAUUGGCAUUUUUAUGGUCUGGGAUGUCUUACGGGUAUAUCAUCGUUGGUUGGAAAUUAAGGCUGGUGAUAUUGACCCAAUUGACCUGGUGUCAAGUCUUGGAACAGGUUUGCUCCACUGCAUAGCGUGUGGACCGGAAAACUUUAUUUCUUAAUUAAAAAAUUAUAAUGAAUAUAUUAAAUAAGAUAAAAGAGAAAUCUUGCUAUUACAAUUUUUUUUUUUUUUAUAAGAUUCGAACGUUGACUUCCUUAUAUUUCAGUUCAAAUAAUUGUUACAUUUUUCAAAAAUUUUACUUUUUAGUUUUUUAAAAUCUUUUUUUAAAAGAAAAUUUUUAAAAAUUUUCUAUCUUUGAAUACUUUUUAAAGAAAUAUGCAAGUUAGUGUUCAUAAUUGUAUAAAGUUUAUUUGGAAAUCUUUAAUUUUGUUUUUCAAAUUUUUACUCAUUCAUUGAUAAAAAGUAUGGGGAUUAUCAUUUGAAAUUAGUAUAAAAAUGAAAAUAAUAUUAAAUUUGAUUAAAAGUUUAUUAUUUAAUUUAAUUCGUAUAAGAGACAAGAAAAGUCUUUUUAAAAGUAGUGAUAAGACGAAGAGUGAUGAUUUUGAGUCAUUAUUAUUAGAGGGGCAAAAUACUUCCCCGAUAGGUUUUGAGAUAAGUGUGAAGGUGUAUCAUAUUUCUAGACAUACAAACUUAUCCUCAUGUCUUAAAAUAUGAGUGUAUUUUGCCACUAAUAAUUUAUUUUCACCACAAAUAUUAAUCAUCUUUAAAAGAUGGUUUUAGUAAUAAAAAAAAUUCAUUGAUAAAAUUAAUUAAUUACGAACUUGUUGCAAAAAAAAUUUCAUGGCAAAUAUGUAGUAUAUUUAUUGUACUAUUUUAUGCUUAAAUCAUAAUGAAGGACUUCUCUAAAUUCAUGUAAGUCUUAUUUUUUAAUUAUAAAAAUGAAGUUUUUAAAACUUUUUCAAAGUUUUGCAAAAAGAUUUAAAAUGAAAAAAAAAAACUUUAUCAUUACUUUAUAAGAAGUAAUCAUAAGAGAGAAUUUAAAAAUUAUGAUGUUAAAACCUUUUGCAAUGCGCAUGUGGUAUGGAAACUUGCGAGAAAAUUCCCGAAUCACCAUAGUAAAAGUCUUGGAAAAGAUCGGAGAGAUGUGGUGUACUGUUUUUCCAUUUUUAAACCUAAAAAGGUCAAACCAAACCACACGUAAUUUUUUUUAAACACCCUCCUUUAAUUUUCAUUAACCUUGAACAUGCGUCUUGAAGAGAUCACAUUGCUCUAUAUAUGGCUAACAAAUUACAAUCAAGAAGCUAGAUCUGUGGUUCUUUCUCCUACAAGAAUAUGAUGGAAAAGGCUUCGGCGUUCUCUUGAUUUCAGUCCUCUUCUUGCCAUCAACAGCAGCUGAAAGAGCACUGCCUCGCUCAGACAGCUCAAACGGGUAUGUAUUACUCAUACUCCAGAACCAUGAUUUGUGAUUAAAAUCUCUUGUACUUGCUAAGAGCCUCAGAAGCUAGCAGUGGUGUUUAUGAGGUACUUACUAAAUACCCAUCCGGUGGUGGACCUGCUGGUUUUGGAAUGGUAAAGCAUUUUUGAUAUAAUAUUUCAUGUGUUAUGGCAGAGGACGAGGGUGGACACCAUGGCAAAAAUGAUGGGAAUAAAAUUGGAAUAAUAGGUAGUCACUCGAACACUGCCCCCUCCAGAACUGGCGUAUCAUAUCCUUCGGAACCCCAUCCCCAUCCGAAAACGUGUAGAUUAUAGUGAGUAACUCAUUAUCUCAAACUUCCUGUUUUGUGUGCAACCUAUCCUUAUAUUAAACACUAACUCAUUAUCGUAUCUCAAAGAUGAAUUUUGGUUUGUACCAGUAUUGGGAAACCUUGUGAGGAAAUGGAAACCAUCCCUGGGAAGCACCUUGAAAUCCAGUGUCGUCCAAUAUCUGUUUCCAUCAACUACAAGUCUUCUCAGUUUAAUCCUCGAUAUUUCUAGAUUAUUUUGUAGAUUUAUGUCACCCACUCAAUUAAAUCUUAUCUGAAAAUAUUUCAAGUCAAAAAUCAAUUUUUUUUUUUUUAAUUAUUUCAACUCAAAUAUCUCUGUUUGAUCUACCACAGAUGCCAUGCCAUGCUACAGUUACCAGGAAUGCAAAGCAAACUGAAGAAGUUGAAGCAAAGUGAAGAAUCCAGAAGAGGAACUCUGAGUAUAAACGCUUGUGACUUAUGUUUGUAGGCUGUAAUUUUGUUUACAAAGUGGAAGUAAAUGUUCACAAAUAAGUUUAAAAAAAAAAACUAUAAAAACACCAUGUUUCCUGUUUUGUUGUUGUAACACAUAUUUUCCCCUUUUUUUUAAUAAUAGAAAAAAUGUAUUAAAAAACUUUUUUUUUUAUAUGAAAAUUUAAAUAGUAAAUAGAAAAAAAUUUUAAGAUAACAGCAAAAACAUAAAUUUAUAUAUUUUUCUUUAAAAAACAAAAAAUAUAUAUAUGAUAUAAUAUAAUUUAAUAUUUUUCUUUAAAAUAUAAAAAAUAAAUAUUAUUAUAUAAAAUAAUAUGUAUUAUAAAUAUUAUAUAAAAAAUGUAAAUCAGGUUUGAGUUAGGUUCAAAUUGUUUGAACCUUGGCCUGAGUCCACCUCAAAUUGAACUUAGGUUGAAAAAACCUAACCCAAGUCUAAUUCAAGUAUUGAAAACGUUAGUCCAAGCCUAUCCAAGCAUCCAGUUGGACUCAGGUUGAAUCAGGUCAACCCACCCAAGUUGUAACCCCAAGUGGAUAGUUUUUACCUAAAUUUAGGAAAUCUGAUAUUAAAAUGGUUCGCCAAGGAAGAAAAGUGACAUUUGAGCUACUAAAAGGAAAUUUAUUAUUUUUAAAAAUAAUUAACAACGGUUGUGUGAACAAGCUCUAGUACUUCGUCAUCCACAAGUGAUUGCAAUAAUUUAGAAAUAAAAAACCAUCCAUACUCAAAAAGUACACAAAAUUUUAACACAAUUCUAACAAUCAUACUUAGACUAAUGGAUGAAAAAAAAUCAUUUACUAUAUAAUAAAGAAUUUUCAAAAAAUAAAAAAUAUAUUAACUAUUAAACCCUAAAACAUAUAAAGUUUUUCUAUUUUGUAUUUACAAUUUAAAUCAUGAGUCUUUACUCCAUGGAAUAUCCCUUACUCCACUGAACAUUCUAUUUUUCUUCAUAUUUUACAUAAAACACAGUAGCUUUUAUACAAAAAGUAUAAAACUACUUUAUCCUUAAAAAUUCUUAUUUAAGGUUGUAAAAAUGCUUAAAUAUUUAUUUUUUAAAACAAUUCUUAAAAAUUAUUAUCUUUUUAAUAUAAAUAUCUAAUAGUUGUUAUAUUUUGUAUAUAAAUUAUUACUAUUAAAAAAAAAAAGUGAAUCCAAAUGAUACUUAAAUGUACAGCUUGCUAAACCAAUGAACUUUUAGGAGUGUACAGGAUAAAGACCAUUGAAUUAAUGGAAGGUCUUAAUCCAUUAAAGUACUUAAAAUUUUAGAAUCCUGUCCUCUAAGCCACGGCUCUGCAUGAACAAUUAAACUAAACAUUAACAAUCAAUCGAAACCAUGCAUGCAAGCACAAACUUGUUGACAAAUAUUUAUGUUUUAUUUCAUUAGGCCAACCCUAGUAAUUAGUAAGCGCAGUGUUACAUUGACAACACCUAAAAAAGCAUCCAACCACAAACUAAUAUUUCAUGGCUUCAUAUAGUUGAGCCCCUCACACCACCCUUAUAUGCCUUCACCAACUGUCAGUGCUUCGCUGCUGAUUUCCCACCUUUUGCCUAUAUAAUCAUACAUUACAAUGAUAGUGAUUAGACCAUUUAUUUCAACCCUCAGUAUUAAUUUAUUUUCCUACUUACAUGGGACAUUGAGAUCAUAACCCAUAUCAAUUUGAAAAAUUCCAUACCUAUGUAUCGAUUUUGCUAUAUGUACAGAAAGGAUAAUCCUUUUAAGAUGUGAAUCAAUAGUAUAAGAUCAAAUUUAGUUAAAAACCUAGAGCAUGCCAUAUGUGGGUGCGACAUAUUUACCUUCUUUUUGGGCUCCUGAGACUUCUGGGCGGGCUUCUUUGGACCUGACUUGGAGGUUGGAGCUUUGGCUGGGCCAUCACCAGCCUUGGCAGGCUCCUUCUUCACGGGGCCGAAGAGUUGACUGCCAGCAGGUUUCUCAGCCUUCAACGAUGCCAUUCUCCCCAAGAAGUUAGAGAAAUGCUAGCUUAUCUCACUUGCUGGACUCAACUGUAAUCUCCUCCCAGACGUAGCACCAUAUAUAUAGCUGAGUUCCAAGACUGUGGAGAGGAAUUUGCAUCACAAUUAUGUUUAAAAGAUUUGAAGGGAAUGGUGCCAUUUAAUCUCAAGGGAAUAGGAAUAACUCCCUGCCACAAGCACAAGCACCAGCACCAGCACCAGCACUUUGUAUCAGAUGCUCUACUUACCCAUAUUCUUCACUCAUCUUAUUGGCCAAUCUUGAAGCAUAGCAUCUUUCAAUCUCUAUGACCAUUUCCUUCAUUAUUCGAUCGGUUUUAUCCCAAUUGGAUGAUUUUAUGACGUGGGAAAUUUUCCUUUUCACCAUUUUUUUUACUGCUAAAAAUUUGAAAAAUAUAUGAACAAAAAUUAGCACCCUUUUGAAAUUAUUGCAAGUAUCUUUCACUAAUUUAUGAUCCUCGCUUUCAGAAUCUAUAUCUAUCUAGCUUUGAUAAAUUCCUUUUUCUUGUUGAAGGCUGUAAAAUCAACUUUUAAAAACAACCAACUGGCAGGGAUCUAAAUGGAGAUGCUUGCAGGUCCAUUAUGGUUGGGCCAGUGGGAAGCAUCAAACGAAUCUCUUGAUCUUUCUUCCCUUGGUGUUAUUAUUAAUUAUCUGUAUAUGAUGCAAGAACGUAUUCCCAUUAUCACACAAUUCUUCAAUAUGAUUUUAACCUUUUUUUUUUUUUUUAAGCCCUUUAGGAAUAACUUUUUGCUUUGAUUUUAUUCAUAAGGUGAAGAACAAGCUAAAAUCUUAUAUUUUUUAAGGACGAUAUUCGUAAUGAGAUAGAGGAUGGUAAAAUAUAAAAUAGAUUUGCGUAGAGAUUAAAAUAAAGUUUUUAACUAAAGCAAAAAAAGUCUGUUCAAUAACAUUUUUUAAGAUAAUUUUUAAUUAUUUUUAUGAAUUUUUUUUUUUAAGAAUUCAAUUAUAAAAAAAUAAUUUUCUUGAUUUAUUUAUCAUGAAAAUAUUGUACACUUACGUAUAAUGUAAAAAAUUUUAAAUAUUCUUCGUAUUUUUAAUUAUUGAUCAAAAUAUUAUAUAAAAUUCUCCAAAAAAUAUUGUUUUGUAUUAAAAUUUAUAAAUGUUUAACCUAUAAAAUUGCUUUUAAAAACAAUUUUCAAAUAAACUCUAAUAGUUUCUAUCUUCUAAAUUCCUUUUUAAAUUAUAAUUUCUUUUAGCAAAAUUAUUAAAAUAUGUGGAAAACUUUUAUGGAAAAAAAGUCACUUCUCUAAAGUGACUCCAAAUAUGACCUAAGUGCUUUUCUCCUUCACAAAGGCUGCUUGGCUGGUGAAACAAAAGAGGCCAUAAUGGACCAAACGAGCAUGAGAACAAUAAUGGAUCAAACAUGUCUUUAGCAGCUCUUAUGGGCCUGCAAAACCUGGCACAAUUGAAAUUGCGCCCUUUCGGCCCAACUCUACUUGGAUUGAGAAGUCAAUUAUUUAAGGCUUAUUUGGUAAUGAUUUUGGAAAGUAUUUCUAUCUAGACUUGAAAACAACUUUUUUUAUAUAGAAAAAUUCUUUUUAAAAUUACUAUCAAAUAAAUUCUCAGUUAUAUUAAAAAGAAUCACCGGGAAAAGCACACAUUCGUGUAAAUAAAGUGGAAGUUAAGAGGCCCUUGAAAGAAGUUAAAAAGGUUUCUUAUCCCCUCAAAGCUUUUAUAUAUGUAUUAAUUAAGGUUCUAUUUGGUAAUUAUUUAUAUAUAUAUAUUUUUUAAAAUAAAAAAUAGUUUUUUAAUCUUAAAAAUAGAAAAUAGAGUGCUUUCAAAUAACGCGUUUUAGUUGUUUUCACUUAUUUUAUAAAGACUAUUUAAAAAAUAAUUAAAAAUAAAACACUACAUAUAAUAAAAUUUAUUUUAAAAACAAGAAAAUAGAUUAAAAACAUUUUACAUUCUCAAAUAGACUUUUGUUUUCAAAAAAUAGUUUUCAAAAAUUAUUUUUUAAAACUAUUUUUAAAAACAAUUUGUAAAUAGAACCUAAAUAUUUAAUAAAUUUAAAAUAUAUAUUUUUAAAUUUUAGAGAAUUGCUUGAAAUGAUUUUUAGAUAAUCAUUAGUUCAUAAUUUUUGCAAAAUUUACCCUUUUUUUUAUUAUAAUACAUUAUAGAAAACACAAGGGAUUAUCUUUAAAAGCAUUUCUAAUAAAAGUGAAGCUAAUAAAAACACCAUGGUAAAAGGAUUUUAACCAAAAACACUCUCAAACAGCUAGGCUCAAAGGAAUGAGAUCUAGCCAUUCAAUUUUACUUCUUGUCUUUCUUCAAAUAUUUUCUCAGUGCCCAAACAAUUUUGUCAAAGCCAAAGGAUUAAAACGAUCAAAACAAACAUAUUUGCUAGCAAAUAUGUCGUUACUUGAAGGAUGGUUUUUGUGAGAUUGAUCCCAUAUUCAAUAUUCCCAUAAUUUUUCUUGUCAUCAACGUCCAAUUGGCAAUUAGGAGGAGAUCAUUAAGGUCCAUGGCUUGCAAGUUGCAAUUAAUUUGAUGUCCAAAAGAAAUUCUCCCUCAACCAUCUUACAGACUUUCCCUCAAACCAAACAACAAUUGUAAAUGACAAGCUCAACUUUAAUAUAAGAUUUUUAUUUCAUUAGAACAAGCCAGAAAAGAGAUACAUAGAUAUAGGUGCCAAGCCUGUGCUUUCUACUAUUUAAUAGAAGUAACUACCACGGAUCUAACAGCAUAAUGGACUUUCGUAAAUCACACUAGUGCUGCCAUUUUUAGUUCUUCACUGGUGCAGGCUUGCUAGCCGGUGCCUGUCACAAAAACAAUGAGGAAAAUAUCAAUUGAGCUUCAUAAUGUGAAGCAUUACAAUGUAAGAGCUAUAUAUAUAUAUAUAGAUAUAUAUACUAGUACCUUCUUGGGCUCCCGGGGUUUGUGCUCGGCCUUCUUGGGGCCAGGCUUGGAGGCCGGGGUGGGAGGGUUGGGGGGGUUGCCACUAGGCUUGGCAGGCUCCUUCUUGACCUGCCCAGCGGGUUGGGUAGUGAGAGGUUUCUGAGCCUUGAGUGAUGCCAUUCUUCACACUGUCCUCUUCACAAAGAGAAAAUUGAAAUUAAGCUACGUUCCUGGCCUCGAGUGUUUAGCUCCUAACAAAGACAUCCAUUUAUAGUUGAGUUUGGAAAACUCAACGUGGAAUUAGAAUCACUGAACAAGGAAAAAGUAUUGCAGAGAUGAUGGCAUAUGGCAUGUGGGAAUGAAAUAAUUGAAAUGGUGGCCUCUUGAAAGAUGCUGUAUCAGAUGCUGUGGCCAGGCAUAUUAUCUUGUGGAUAUUAUUGAAGCCCUCAGGCCUAUUCUAAAGCAUGCACGCAUGGAUGAUGUUGAGACACGACUGGUGAAAAGUAUAGGCACUUUGGGCUUAAAUUUGAUGCUAUAUAUGGAGAUUUUUUAGGGCCUUCUGUGAAUACCCUCUUGUGUUUUCCCUGUAUAAUCUGAAUAAUCUAAUAUUCCAAUUCCAACCUUCUUCAUUUAUGGGGCAAAUUAAAAACACCAUUUCACUGAGUUUUAUCCGGGUAAGGGUGAAUUUUGAGGGAGCUCAUCAAUACAACAAACUGUAGGGCAACCCAGAAGAGUGCCCAUUUUUUAUUGCUUAUUUCUCCAUCUUGGUUAAAUUUUUACAUGAACUAAGGGCAGAUCCCAUGGAAGGUGUCCCUUGAACUUGAAGUGGAGAAUUGUGUGUUUAGUAAGUAAGAGUGAGACUUAGUUCUUAUGAGUGAGUUUUUUAUUGAUCAUGUGCUCAUUUUACUUGUACAACCAAACACAAUAAUAAAUGAAAACAGAAUGAAUUUCAUAUUCCCAUGCCCCAUUCUAACAUUCAAACAUGCCCUAUAAUUGAAGUGUCCAAUUGCAUAAAAUAAUGCACAAGGGUUGGUGGGAGAUAGAUUCAAUCCAUCAAACUUUAGGACUCUCCCAUCGUCACUGGUUUGAAACAAAUAGAUACAUUAAUGAACUUGAUGUAAGUAUAGCAAUAACCUGGCCCGGAUGAGGUUGAUCUUGUUAAGGAAUCAUCCAGAAUGCAAGAAUCCCUUUUAAUUAAUUGUUGGAUAUUCCUACUUCCAUAAAAAAACAGGGGCUAGGAACACCUUGAGUUUUCUUUCUCUGUCAUAGUUCAGUUUCUUGUUUAUGAUAGACAGGAAAAUUUCUUUGGGAAUAAUUGAUAGAUUGAUCAAGUUGAAAAUUCAAUGUUACUGAAUGACAUAAUUUCAGACGAUUAGAAUCCAAUUUCAUUAAUCUGAAUUGGCUAACAAGGUACUAAAAUCACACUUCUGGUCAUCAAUUCAUGACUACUUGAUCACAUUAGAGAACAUCUUGAUAAGUUUCUUUAGCUUCAGUAAACUUCAGUCACCAGUCUGGGAUUGUUAACUGUCAGUGAUGUUGCCCCAUCCUCAAUGCCGCAUAAGCCAAAGCCCUAUAUCCCACAAACAUUACAGUCAAGGCAGCCACAUCCCAAGCCCAAUGAUCAAUACCCAGAUACUUUAUAGCAGGAAAUUCCCACACCUUGCAAUGCAUCCUCAACCCACACUCAUAAACCUCAUUUUCUGCGUACUGCACUCCCACUAGAAGCUUAUAACAGUAGUGACUAAAGGAGAUGUACUUCAACCAAGCAAUGAAAGGUGGGAUGUGCUGAAUGUAGUAUCCUCCUGCUAAAAGAAACACAAGCAUGGUCACAGAAGCUAAGGCCGUGCCCUGUUUCACGUCCAUUAUAAUGGCACCAAGGGCUAGUCCUAGCCCUUGAGAGACUAGCACAUUGUAUAGGAUGACCAAGAGGGUUAGCACAAAUGUAAGCAGGGAAGGCUUGAGACCACCCAUCCAAUAUGCGAUGGUUACGAAGAUAGUUGGGAGCACAAGUUCCAUAGGCAAGUCACCAGCCAUUCUAGCAAAGUAAUAUGAGGAGAGACGGUACAUGCCCGAUGAGCGUUCUCUUAUUAGCAUUGGCCGCUCCUGAGGGAAUGUGAAUAUGGCAUUGAAUAGAGGAAAGAAGCCCCAGAAUAUGGAGAAGAAAAAGAGAAGUCCCACCUGUCCAUAGUCCAUCACCACCACCACAAGAAGAGGAAUAUAAGAGACUAACUGAGAUAUUCAUCCUUAUUUGAAGGUUAAAUACUGCUAUUAUGAAAGAUGGGCCAGGGUCACAAUACCUGAUCUUGUAUGUGGGAAGUAUCAGAAUGCCACCACAAAAGCCCCGAAAGAAUUGAAACAGACAUGACUUGAAAAAUUCUCAAACCAGAGUAAGAUUCAUGUUUCCUCUCUUGCAAACCCCUUCUUAGCAACACCUUGAAUUGCUCCCACCAGCUGGAGGUCCAUUGAUUCUCACAACCUGCAACGCCCUUACUGAUCAAUACAAACUUCUAUGAAUCCGCUCAAUGCAUUCUUGGACAGCCCAUGAACUUGGUAACAUUCAAUGGGAUGCAGAAAGAGAGAGAGAAGAAAUUUCAGUUACCUCUAGAUGACAAUGGUCCCGAUGCAGACCCAUCUGAACCAUGAGAAUUACGAUGGAUCUCAGCCCUCAUGAUAUGAUAUAGGCUCUUCUUGUAAGAUGAUAUCAGGGCCUGUUUGAUGGAAUUUUGAUCAUCAUGAUGGUCUGGUCUACCAUGAAAGUCCUGUUGAUCAUCCUUUCUCACAUCAGGGGCUACACCUGCAAUUUUGAGUAUGAGGAUGACGUUUGUUCAAUAGGCGAAGGCCCACCACUAAAAAUCAAUCCAACUCCAACAAUUACUUUUUCUAGCCAAGAACAGCUGAAUUGAAAAUUUGAGACAUGCAUAUAAAUGAUUUAGCAGAAACUCAUUGGAUUUGCACGGAUUAAACAGUUCUGAGAUCUCCAGGAUCCAACUAAUAAUUAAGUGGGCAAGGACCCAAGAAAGUAAAGUGAAACAGUCCAAAAAAAUGUUCACUGUGACACUACAGUUAUUAAUAUCGACAAAAAAUACAAAAGAUUUACUUGAAAUCAUUGGCCUCAUCCAAUCUGAUCACCUUUUUUCACCAUAUCUGGCAGAAUCAUCCAAAGUUCAAUGUAUGAAUUGAUAGGCAAAAGAAUUGGAAUUGUUUUUAGAGAAAUGGAAGUAGUUCAGGAUUCUCCACUUUUCUUUUCUUUUUUCUUUUAUUUUUUUCUUUUUCUUUUGUACUAUUUCAAACACAUAUGGAAGGUUCACCCUCUGCAGCACACGUUUCCUAUAAGAUCAAAGAAGCUUCAAGUGACUUGCCAUUCAAAAAAGAUUACUCUUAAAUGAAUAAAGCGUAAAAAGUUUUUCCAACCACUUAAAAGCCACCAGAUUUGUGGGAACAGUGAAUCAUGUCAAAUCAAUUUGACAACAAAGGAAAAGAUUAGUGAUAUUGUUGAAGUCAUUAGAUACAUUGUUGGUAUUUCUGCAUUAUUUCCUUAAGUGAUAACAGUAUUAAAUAAAAGUAAAUCCUUAGAUAUCAAAAAAACUAAGAAAAUUUUUCUUUUCAAAUAUAUAUUAAGAGUUACAAAUGUAACUAAAAGGAUUAGGUAUUAAACCGACAAGCCCAUGUGCAAUAACCAUAGUGUUUAAGACUAGAUCUUCCUAUUAGCCCAUAUGUCUAAUCUUAUCCCUAGACUUGACUUGACUUAGAAGUACCAUUUUUUAUGAUAGACAGCCAUGGAAAUCAGAAAAUGGUUAGCCACUCAAUUGUUUAUCGAAAUAAAAGGAGAACAACGCAUUCCAGCGGCAUUGAUCAAUAAAAACCAUACAUUUUUCACUUUGCUUCUUCAGAACAAUUUAUACCAAUCUAUGAUGAAAAAUCAAAGAGUAAAGAUUAGCAGAAAGAAUUACUCACCAUUAGCGAGAUCAAGUAGAAAAUCAGCAGGGUUCAAUAAGCUAAAUCCAGGCAGGUAACCAAUUGUGCCGAAGUACUCCAGAACAUUAGCAGCAUUUCCACUGUAAAUAGGACACCCUUCUGAGAGCACCACCAGUUUAUCAAACGUCCUAUACAGCCUGCUUGAAGGCUGAUGAAUGGUUGUAAUCACCGUCCGCCCGCCUUGUGCCAGUCCCCGAAGAGUGGCCACUAUGCGGUGAGCGGUGGUUGAGUCGAGCCCUGAAGUGGGCUCGUCCAGCAACAAUAGGCUGGGGUUCACUAGCAUCUCCUGCCCAAUACUCACCCUUUUGCGCUCACCACCCGAUAUCCCCCGGAGGAGAGGACCCCCUAUGACACUGUUCCUGCAUCUUGUUAAGCCAAGCUCCACGAUGAUCAGCUCAGCUUGUUCGAUUUUUUCCUCUCUAGUGAGCUUUUUCGGGAGCCUUAACAAGGCCGCAUAUGUUAAGGUCUCGAGGACGGUCAGGUGAGGGUAGAGUACAUCAUCUUGUGUGACAAACCCCGUCUUCCGCUUCAUGGAGCUUGAAAAUGGCUGCCCGUUAUAGGUUAUGUUACCUGAGACUUUCCCCGGUAAUCGGCCAGCCAGAGCCGUGAGGAGAGUGGUUUUUCCACUGCCUGAUGGACCCAACAUUGCCAGCAGUUCACCUGGUCGAGCUAUUCCGCUCACCCCAUUGAGCACAGUGCGACUUUGCUUGGGCUCAGGUGACCCAAAGCAGCUGCCUUCGGUGCUUCUCAACUUGAUAACAUAAACCACAUCCUCAAACUGUGACACAAGUACAUAAUAUACAUAGAUAUUAAUCGCAUGGUUAAAAUUGAGUAAAUUAUAUUCUAAUACAUGUAUAGUUGUCUGAUCAUAUAAUUGCAUGCUGGAAUUAAUACCUUGAGUGUCACAGGACGUAAUGAUUCACGUAGAAUCGAAAAUUGAGGUCUGGUUGUUUGCUGUCCGUCAGGUGUUUGAUCCUCUAAACACGGGCUCACAUUACUCGCUGGCUCUGCAGCAUGAAUUGUGACAUUCUCGAUCCGGUUCGCCCCCAGAACAUUAGCUGGGUCACCGGUGAUCCUGGUCUCCUGCUCAGGUGGCAUCAUUUGAAGAACUUAAUCCAACAAGAGAGAAGCAAUAAAGGAACAGGGAGAUGAAGAUGGAGAAGAGAGGAGAAAAGAUGUUAGCAAGGAAGGAGAAGCAUUAAUAGCAGGAAAAAUAGAGAAGAUUUGAGGGUCACAUGCAGAGAGAGGCAAUAUGAGCUUUAAAGUGAAGAAGGCACGAGAAGCAGACUUGGGUGUGAGUCAUGAUAUAGGGGUUGGGUCUGGGCCUCCUGGGGGUCUAAGGGAGAUGUAUGGAUGUGCUACAAUGUCUCUUUCUACCUCUCGUGUACGCGUGUUUUGGACAUCACUUACGGUCCUUCCUGUAUUUUCGGACCCACUUAGUGGAUGCUGCUUAGUAUUUCCAGGACAUUGCUCCAUUAUCUUAACCAUUUCAUCUAUAUGUACACCAUCUUCAAAAUUAAUUAAGCUUCAAACAAUAUUAAAUACUAAAAGUUCAAUUUUAGUACAUUAUUAACAGAAUCAAUGGAUAUUUAUCUUUCUGCUUUUCUCAGUGCUAACAUAUAUAUAUAUAUAUAUAUAUAUAGAUAGAUAGAUAGAUAGAUAAAUAUAUAAUUUGAUUUGACGAGAAUUGAAGGCAAUUAUAUAAGCAGAAUUCAGAGAAUUCAUGUUCAAUGGUGCGCAUAUUGCCAACCUGCAAAAAUCUCUAUUGAAAUAUAUUAUAUACACAACUGGGCAUCCUCAUGCUGGACCCAAUAGUACUUACUAUAAUUGGCUUUGCUAUAUUCCUAACAUAUGUAUUUUAUGGUUAUAAGUUUGGAAAGAAAAUAUACACUAGUUCAAGGUGCCAUGUUCUUCCAGAGACAAAGUAAUUCAAAAGAAUACGAAUAAUUUCUAGUUGGAAUUGAUAUAUAUAUAUAUAUAUAUAUUUUUACUCAUUCCCAAUCUCAGAUCUGGCAGAUAGCAUAUGGGCAGUAAUUUGAUUGUAUAAAUUCAUCAAUUUAUUAUAUCUCCGAUGAGGAAUAUUCACUUCUACUUGUGGGUAUGGUAAUCCAUGAAUCACCCUAAUCUCUCAUUAAAAUAUAUGCAUUAGCCUUGUUUUUUAAGAGAUUUUUUGUUACACGAGUCUCUGA
rnacentral:lncRNA from 1 species